rnacentral:rRNA from 1 species
GGGGUCAGCGGCAGACGGGUGAGUAACACGUGGGAACGUACCCUUUGGUUCGGAAUAACGCUGGGAAACUAGCGCUAAUACCGGAUACGCCCUUUUGGGGAAAGGCUUGCUGCCGAAGGAUCGGCCCGCGUCUGAUUAGCUAGUUGGUGGGGUAAUGGCCUACCAAGGCGACGAUCAGUAGCUGGUCUGAGAGGAUGAUCAGCCACACUGGGACUGAGACACGGCCCAGACUCCUACGGGAGGCAGCAGUGGGGAAUAUUGGACAAUGGGCGCAAGCCUGAUCCAGCCAUGCCGCGUGAGUGAUGAAGGCCUUAGGGUUGUAAAGCUCUUUUGUCCGGGACGAUAA